ACCUCACCUGUCCCUCUCUCCGGAGAGCCCUCAGGUCUGCCGCCCUGAGCCAAAACCACAGUGUGGGCAACAUCAUGGAAGCACAUAUGAAUCUGACAGUAAUCAGACACAUUAUGAAGUUAAAAACACUGCAGAGAAAACCUGCACUGAGUCACUGCAGCCCUCUGUUCUUGAAAGAAGCCUCCAAAGGAGCUGAUGUUUGAGAACAGGAGAGGAUUAAGGAAAACAGUGACAGGAAUCCCACCUCCUGUGGAAUCUCUGAGCUCCCAAAGACAUAACUUCAUGAAGCACUGAAGCAGCACUGAGAAACCUGCCUCUAAGGUCACCUGUGUCAGGACUGAAGGAUGAAGGAUACAGCUCCUCACUGCCUGCACUGGCCUGGGCUCAGCCAGAAUAAGUUAGUCUUUUUCUCACAGAAUUUUUUACCCAAAUCAACAGAAGGUGCCUAUUCUGGCCAUUCCCAUCUACAUAAUGAAGGCAGCUUUAUCUCUGCCACCUCUUCACUUUUUAUUAAAAGUGCUACUCUAAUGCAUCCCAUCAGUGAACAA